AUUGUUUUGUUUUAAAGUAUCCUCAAAGUAGAAGCUCGUGGAUCGUAGAACGGUGUGUAGGCAUAAUUGUAAGAUGAAGAAAAUGAAUGGAUAAGACCUUCAGUCCUGAGGCAGCUUGUGAGGGAGUCUGGAGGAGUUUGAUUGAAAUAGAAGGCUUCUGGAGCAGAGAACAUCUUCUUUUUCCAGUAGGUCAGCAGGAAAAGAAAAUGACUGAGAAAUGUUGAGCGGCCAAAGCAUUUACUGGCUCCUCCUCUGCCCGCUUGACUGAUCCUGUGCAAGACAGAAUGAGUCCAAGUGAUGAAUACAUUUGUAGUUUCUUGCUGUGGAGAUGGAACCAUUCACUGUGGGAGAUGGCCACUUGAUUGACGUCACAGAAGGUCUAGAGUGAUGCCUGAUUACCGAUUUAGCACUUUGCCUGGGUCCAGAUCUCAGAGAGGGCCCUCGCGGCAUCUUCGGGAAUGGCUGCUGAUUGCUGAUGAGUGUCUGCAUAAAUAUGCCCUGAGAGGUCACGAGGACAACUGCUGCCUGCUACGCAGAGUCUGCUCGGUACUCUGGAUUGGUGCGACUAUGAUGAUUCUGUGCCUAGGUGCAGAAUGCUCUAUUAGGUGCCUGGGUACAUCCCUGCUCCUAAUGUGUUGAAGAUCUGAUGGGAGAGAUGUGUGAAAAGAAAUGGCCAACCACUUGGCCUUCCAAUCAUCUAUGAUUCUGGGUCAAAGAUCAGCAGGGAGGCAGAGCUGUGAUGGUUGGUGCUCCAGAGAUUUCGGAUAUCAAAGGCUCCACUCCACUCCACGGUGUUUCUCUGCAAGCAACAUCCAGUAAUUCCCUCGCGUCUAUCCCUGGGGUGUCGGCCUAGAAAUGUUUCAACGAUUCUUGUUUACUCCGUGGGGGUGUCACUCUUCCAUGGUAGUUUGAGUUGAGCAUAUAAAUCCGUUUCCAGACAAGCA